GGUGCAGCGGUGAAAUGCGCAGAUAUCAGGAGGAACACCGGUGGCGACGGCGGGUCUCUGGGCCGAUACUGAACGCUGAGGAGCGAAAGCGUGGGGAGCGAACAGGAUAAGAUACCCUGGAUAGUCCACGCUGUAAACGUUGGGCGCAACGUGUGUGGGGCCUCUCCGGUUCCCUGUGCCGCAGCUAACGCAUUAAGCGCCCCGCCUGGGGAGUACGGCCGCAAGGCUAAACUCAAAGGAAUUGACGGGGGCCCGCACAAUCGUCGGAGCAUGCGGAUUAAUUCGAUGCAACGCGAAGAACCUUACCUGGGUUUGACAUGGCCGCAAAACUGUCAGAGAUGGCAGGUCCUUCGGGGGCGGUCACAGGUGGUGCAUGGCUGUCGUCAGCUCGUGUCGUGAGAUGUUGGGUUAAGUCCCGCAACGAGCGCAACCCUCGUUCGAUGUUGCCAGCGCGUUAUGGCGGGGACUCAUCGAAGACUGCCGGGGUCAACUCGGAGGAAGGUGGGGAUGACGUCAAGUCAUCAUGCCCCUUAUGUCCAGGGCUUCACGCAUGCUACAAUGGCCGGUACAAUGGACUGCGAUACCGUGAGGUGGAGCGAAUCCCAAAAAGCCGGUCUCAGUUCGGAUCGGGGUCUGCAAACUCGACCCCGUGAAGUCGGAGUCGCUAGUAAUCGCAGAUCAGCAACGCUGCGAU
rnacentral:rRNA from 1 species